rnacentral:misc_RNA from 1 species
CAGACUUCGGUCGCAGAGAUGG